GUUAGUCUGUGUUAAUGAUGACUAACGUGAUAAAGGCAAAAAAAUCUGAUGGCUGGCAGCAGCAGGCCCUAUUGGAAAUUUGUUUUGUUUGGUUGAUGGUUCUAGUUCUAUUCUGAGCUGGUUAAUUUGGAUAUCUUUUGUUUCAGAAGGCUAGUCAGAACUUUGGUUGCUAGCAUAUGAUCUUUUUCUCCUUCCACUCCAAUAUUUAAAUAUGCCUUUUUGCUUUUUAUCUUUCUUCUGAUCUUUGCAGUCUUGCCCCUUUCAAUCCAAAACACAAGUCCUCCAGUUAGCUCAGAAGGGAGCAAUAACUUUUUGGAUGAUUAUGGUACCUCAACUUAAAUGGGAAACAUUUAAUAUUCCUAAAUUGAUUUUCUUGCACAUUAAUCUAAAGUCCUUGGGAAAUAUAACAAAAGGAUAAAAUAUGUAUAAAUUCUGACCGGCCAUAUCUAAAUUUUGAUGCAGUGGGAAGUGUUUCAGAAUUUAAAGGAAGCUCCUUCUAAAAUGACUGAAGCCUAUGAUAAAUUAGAACAUAAAGAAGGAGCUUUGUAAAGCUCCAAGGAGGCUUUCUCAGAUAGGGUGGGCAUAGAAAGUGUUCUUUUACCUACUCAGUAAGGUCUACAUCUGAUUAGAAAGCAAAUUAGGUCAGAAGCACUUAUCAACUAGACAGUUCUCCAAAAUAAGUGUUUCCUAACUCUUUUCAAAAAAGUUUCCAUUUGUAAGAGUAUCUCCCUCUAUUGAUUAACUCUUAAAAUAGGAAAAAGUUUUAAAGGUUUGCAAUACGCCACAGUAACUUUUUGCCACUUUUUCCACAUACACACCAAAAAAGGAAAUUAAGAGCUCUCAGAACCUUUCUGUUUGGUUCAUGUUUCAGAUGUGAUGUUUUUAUUUUAAUUGAUCUUCAAAUAGACUCAGGAAUAUGAGAACUUUGUUUUCUUAUAGUCCUGAAUAGGAUGAUAUUUAAUGGGGGCAAAGAUUAGCUGCAAAUGUAAAACACUUAAGAUUUGUCAAAAGGCCAGCCUCAGUUGGGGCAGUGGUGCCCAGCAACUCAGAAGGCUGAGGCAGGAGGAUCACAAGUUUAAGGCCAGCCUCAGCAACUUAGCAAGACACUCUCUCAAAAUCUUUUAAAAGUGAAAAGAGCUGAGGUGAAACACAUAACUCAGUGGUGAAACACCCCCUGCAAUCCCCAGUACCAUUAGUUAAUUAAUUAAUUUAAAAGGCCAGUCUCACCCAGGAUAAGGCUCUGCCUCUUGCCCUGCUUCAAUGUAGAUGGCCCCCAAGGUAGACUAAAAAUAAACCCACUUAAAGUUCUGUUGAAUGAUAAGUUUUUGUCAUAAAUACUACUGCAAUCCCAAAAUAGAGAGGUAGUAUAAAACUAAGUAAGUACUUGGGUAAGUUGAAAAGCUAUUUAAAGGAUAUGAAAGAGUUUUUAAAAGAAAUAGAAUUGCUGGGCCUGGGGGUUCAUGCUUGUAAUCCUAGUGACUCAGAAGACUGACUGGAUCACAAAUUCAAGGCCAGGUGGGGCUCGGUAAUACACACCUGUAAUCCCAGCAGCUCCGGAGGCUAAGACAGGAGGAUUGCAAGUUUGGGGACAGCCUCAGCAAUUUAGCAAGGCCCUAAGCAAUCUAGCAAGAUACUGUCUCAAAAUAAAAAGGGGAUGUGGCUCAGUGGCUAAGUCCCACUGGGUUUAAUCUCUAGAGGUACUAAAAGAAAAACAAGUUCAAGGCCAGCCUAGACAACUUAGAGGCUUAAACAGAUAUCAAAGGUGUUACUAUAAAAAGAAAAUCAAAGGUACAUUAGUGUUACUAUAAAAAGAAAAGUUUUGGGUUCAGAAUUAUACACAAACUAAAUGUGUUCUUGCUCUUGUUAAUUUUAUUUGGUAUUUUCCUUGUAAAACUUUAUAACUAUUGCCUGUUAGUGUUUUACAGAAGUACAACUUCUAACAGAAUAGCCUGAGUUAAUUUGAGACAAUAAGUCUUCACCCACAGGACAGAUAGGAUAUAACACUGACUCCAUUAACCACCCCAUAUGGUAACUUCAUACUGACUCCAGUUAUAUCAAAGGGGUAACUAUAAAAUUACAAAAGUUAAUGUUAUGACACAUUAUUCCCUCUUCAGGACUGGGAAACUGGCCCUGUGGGUGUUCAAUCACAGAGACUUGGAGACCAAAGCCAAGGAAGAUAAAAGGGCAGCCAGUAUUUUGGCCCCUGCCAUCCAAAGGCAGCCAAAACCAAGGCCAGGAUGGGAUACCAAUAAAAGGGUUCUGAAAAACCAGCCUCUACCUCAGAGCAAAGCCUGUCCAAGGAAGGGGGCGUGACCCUUGUCCUUGGAAAGACCCACAGAGCACUCCUAGGCACAUACCCACCCUGCUGAGUUGUUUAUCUACAAAUAACAGGAGAGAUCUGCGGAGCCAGGUGUCCCUGACUCAGUCAGGCUAGGUGAGGACCCAUAGCAACCCCCUAACAACCACCAAUCAGCAUGAGUUAGGGAAAAUACCUGGGAUGCCAGAUGAGCCUCCCAGUAGUUUAUGGUGGUUGAUAACAUGUUGGGAAACCGUGUAGUUCAGCACAUACUCCCCUCGUACUCCCUCGUGGUUUAAACCAAUCAGUUCAAACAAAUCCCUCUCUUUUACUAACCAAUCACCCUUACCCAACUUGUUCCCACCAGUGAAUGUGCUAAUCAUGUUUUAGAGUUGUUUUAUGAUUUUCCUGCGGUGUGUGAUGAUUUGCUAAGAGAUGCUAUGAUGUAUGUGAAGUCCCUGCCUUCCCCAGAGUCUAUAAAACUGCUGCAAACCCUGGGCUCGGGACCUCUCAGCGUCACCAGUUGCUGUGUGAGCACGGAGGACCAAGCUAGUUCACAAUAAACACCUCUUUGCUGCUUAUAUUGAUCUUGGUCUCUGG
rnacentral:lncRNA from 1 species